AUUGCGGGUGUUUCCAUAAAAGCUUGGGAUAGCCCCAUUAAGGAGGAUGGCCUGAAAGAAGACCAAGAAGUGUUUAAAAUUAUACUGAGCACACCUAAAAACAUUGUCCUGGCGCAGACGAGUGAAGUCACUGCAGAAACAAGGGAGGUACAGACAGGUAAGAUUAAUGGAUGUAGGCCUUUCGGGAGCACCUCCUCCAAGCAGAGGGUUGAGUUGUGCAAGGGGACAGCAUCGCUUUUGGGAUGUAUCCUGUGUCAUACUCCCAGUAAGAUGCCAAGCCCCUGGCAGAAUAUAUCAAAAUGUCAGAGAGUGCUGCAGUGCUGAGCUCAUGCUAUGUAAAUGAUAGUGUGAUGAAUUGUGUGCCGUACACACUACACACAAAUCCUGUCCCAAGCAGCCCUGGAAGAGGAGAUAGUACUCCUGCCGGUGUGUCCUCUGCUCCAGGAACCUUGCCAGGAGGACAUGCUGUAAUUCAUGCUUUGCUGAUGCUUUAUAAAAGUUGCAGCCUGUACCUGGGCUGCUGCGCUGCUGACCCCAGUAUCCACAUCACCCCCAGCCCCUUGGAGCCCGGUGACUGACCGCAUCCCCCCGACCUGUCCUGGGAAACCUAAUGUUAGCCCUCUGGCUCGCACAGGCAGUGCUGCCUUGCCUGGGCUCAAUGCCACGUCACGCAAAAGGUCAGGGCUCUCCCUGCUUUGCAGGCUACACCCAGAGCUGGCUUGACCCCCACUUUGCCCUCCUGACUGCAGAAGCCUACAGCCUGACCCAAAAAACAAGGUGGUAAUUCAGUCCUCAUCUGAAGAACCCCUACAAUCUCUGCUGAGUAACAGCUACUGAAAGCAAGGGAUUAUCAGCACUUAAUUUAACCCAGCUCAGGACUCGCCAUAAAGCUGUAAUGUAGCACGUUCAGUAAGCCAGUGCCUGGGAAACAGGAGGUUUCCCAGAGGGAAGGAGCAGACUUACACUAUGGAACAAUUGGAGAACUUCAACUAAAAUACUUCUGAAACAUUGUGGGGAGAUGGCAGAAGUGUGGGGCAGAAUGGUGAGAAAGAGUCUGACUCUAGAAAGAGUGUUUUCUUCUACUCUUUAUCCCUUUUUUCAUGCCGCGCUGUAAGCUUGGCCAGAGGAGAACCCCCCCGUGCAAACCCCGUCCUCCAAGCAGAGCAAAGCAAAGUGCAACACGGGCGUGGAGGGGCUGGGUGGGUAAGCAGUGCCAAGCACAGCUGGGCAGGUGGGUGAACAGGGCAGCACACCCAAAGGUGACCGCCUGCCUUUUUUUGGAGGCUUCUGCCUUUUCAGAGGUGUGUUGGGGAGCUAAAUAUGUCUAAUUUCCUGCUGCCACAGACAAGGCUGAGUGCUGGCCCAAAUGUGGGUCAAGAGUGACACCCUGUGGACAAGUUACUCUUUUUUUGUAAGUCCUCCAGGAUUUCUCUCCUCCUGUUUUUCUUUUUUGGUUGGUUGGUUGGUUUUUCUUGUAUUUGGCUUUAUCCCUUCCACUCCUCCCCUCUUUGCAUGCACAACCCUCCUCAAACCCCCAGCCUGCGUGGGGGUUGCUGCUGCAAGUCUGGUAGUGCACAGGGACCAGCGUUUCUCACCCCUUAAAAUUUAUAGGCUGAGGAGAGGGCACCCAAAUCCACUCCCUCUUUUGUUCCUUUUUUUGUUCCAUUUUUAUACUUGGUUUCAUCCGUGCAGUGCAGUGAAGGGGCGGCUGCUCCCGGCCACGAAUCCAAUGUCGCUCCCCUUCUCAGCUCCCCCCAGCUCCUCUGCUGCGCGGGUCAUCAGCUGGAGCCGGCUGUGCUCCCAGGGCUCAUAAAUCUACCAGCUCCUUGCAAAAUUUGGCAAGUAUGAACCAAGGCUGCCUGAUAAACUGAGAGAGAAAUGGUGUGGGCUUCCCCGCAGUCACCCCCACGCCCUCCCUGUGCUGUGCAGCUCCCUGAGCCAUUCCUGGGGAAGCUGAUUGCUGCCCAAACAGGAAAACUCCUCAAGAAAAGAGUAUUAGAAGGACUGCUACUCUUCUAGUCACUGUGGUGGUCUCUUCCCAGUCUUGGACCUGUACAGGUUGCACCAUGCUGUCCUGAUGCUCUUGGUGGUAUCCCCAAGGAGCAAAAUCUGAUGUCCCAGAACAGGCCGAUUGACACCAGCCGACAACCUGGAGAGGGCAAGACUCUAUUUUAGGCAACAAAUAAUUCAGUUUUAUAUUGGUGAGAAAUUCUUCAUCACCACUUUAAUUAUGCGGAUCUGAAAGAGACCAUAACAUUUUGGCAAGCUCAGUGCUGGGCGUGGGAAAGAGGGGAGGUGUCAAAAUCCUUCCAAGAGUUGAUGUCCUUUCUUACCCCCAGCAGUUUAACCCUGCAAAGUCUGCAUAGACAUGUAUAUAUAUAUAUGCGCACACAGAUCUAUGCAAAAGCAGACACUGGAUGGAGAUUCCUUAUUAGCCUCAGAAAUAGCAAAUGUACAGGCAGUAUUUUUUCCAAUGACACAGAUAUGCCACCAUUAACUCUGCUUUAGCUGGUAUAGUUUAGGGCUUUCAGAAAAUGUAACUUCAUCUGCACCAACUACUGUAUGUUUUUGCUGAGUGGAGCUGCAGGUUUUGCCUGGACAGCCUACACAUGCUCUCUGCCUUUUCCAUUGUAUGCCAAAUCCUGAAGAGGAAGGGGUGUCCUAGAGGAAAAAGUCAUUUUUUUAGGCCUUUAUGCCAUUUCCAGCAGCCUAGGCCCCAGCGUGCAUCCUUCUCAGAUGAAAAAGAGAUCAGGUCUCUUGGUCCAGCACUGGGACACUGUAGAACAAGAUUCAGGCAAAAAACAUUGAAGGAGUGUGUAUUUUUCUGACCAUACUCGUAACCUACCACAUGUUGUACUCUAGCCCUUAAAAUGAAGAAGUUGCACUUGAGCAAGCAUCAGAACUGCUCAAAAGGCAUCAGAAAAAAAAAAAAAAAAAAUAGUUGAAAAACUUCAAAAAAUCUGCAUCAUCCUGGGAGCUUCCUAGUAAACAUCAGAAGUGGGAAGAUCCACCAGGGAAAUAGUGUGGGGCAAGGAGCUGCUGGUUGGCUCUGUUGACUUUAUCGAGUAAACAACAAGGGUUGUGGCAAUGCUGCUGGGUUGUGGGAAAUGGGGUUUAGAGACCCCAACGUGAACACAGGAAGCUGUGUACCAUCUCCAAGAUGUGGCAAAGCCGAAUAUUUUCCUCUGCUCUUUUAAGAACCAAGGCCACAUCUUGGUGGGAAACACUUAAUCCCAAAUCCUGCCUUUUCUGUUCAGAUUAGGCCACUAUGCCUGCAGAAAGGUGGCUUCUUGCGUCCCUUUUGGUUUUAUUGCACGAUGGGAUGAUACAGCUGUGCUCAUGGAGCCAGGUGAUAUAGUUCACUCCAGAGGUGGCUGCAAUUCACAAGAAAUUAUUGCUCAUCAUCUUCAUCAUUGUAUUGGGUGGUCUUGCUAAAAUGUGCAGCCUCAAGUCCGCCUUGGGGGUAUCUGUGCAACAGCCCAGCUACAACAGCUAUUGGCAGAGUUAGAAACAGGGUCAGGCCAUAAUGGUCCGUUUUGGAAUUUAAAUUGGGUCAAUUUGAGGUAAAUAACUACUCUGUGUAGCUUUCAAAGGAUCAUUUACUUUUUGGGAAAGCAGGAAUAUGCUUUUGGAAAGUGUACAGGCAUCUUUCAGGAUGAAGGGCUCCAUCUGCAGCCAUCAAGUUUUUACCUUUUAAUUAACAAACGUUUAUAAAGAAUUUCAAUUCAGAAUUACUAAACAAAGAAACCGUACAAGCCCCAGAUGAGAUCUAAACAGUUUCCAAAAGACAUUAAGAAAGAGAAAAAUACUGGGCCACGUGUUUUUUCUUAUGCCUCUUGAGUCCAUUUAUUCCAGACAUCUGACAGGCAAUUCAGAUUUCCAAUAGUUUUAGGUAACCAUGUCCAAUUUAGAAACCACAGCCUUCAGCUAAGACUACCUACCUCCUGAAUCAGUCUGGAAAACCAGAGCACAUGCUGAUACUCUGCAUUUUCAGAUUUGGAGAGCUUUGUUAUGUAUGUGCCAUAUAUACUUGGGUUGAAUUUUCUGGCUCCAUGCAAACCAUUUAGAUAUAUUUCAUAGACCUGUAGUCAGUGGUCAGAGUCAGAUAAAUUAUAGUGCCUAAUAGAGAGCCUGUUUGUGCUUUCAAAGAGUAAAACCGCUAUAAAAUUGAUCUCCUCUUUUGAGAUGCCUUUGACGGCGGUUGUCGUAUGGCAUUUCGUAUGAGAUGGAAGCAAAGGGGCUCCCUGUGGAUGAAGAACUAAUGAGCUUUAUUUCUGCUUCUUAGACUUGGGCUGAUUUUUAAACCUUUCUGAUACCUGAGUGUUUGUAUCUCAAAACCAGAGAUUAAAUGGGGUCUUCAUGAUGAGCAAAGCCAAACCACAGUGGAAAUGCUGAGUUCAGGUACGGGCAAAUAAUGUCCUGCUAUGUGCCCUUUCCUAAUUCCCUGCAGAAACAUCCUUGCUGAGGAUUCAGUGACAUCUGGAAGGAGGCAUGUCAGGCAGGAGAUGCAUUAGGUACUGGUUUACACGCCACCCUUCUCACCUUACUCCCUAAAACCUGCGUCAGACCCCAGUGCCCCGGUCGAACACACGGUGCCAUUCCAGCAGAGGAUGGCAUCACACGUCCUCUCUUCCAGGGCCCCAAGGAAAUUCUAGAUGAUCAGGUGUUACUUCCAAGAAAGCUUGGCUGAACAAAAAUUGCAGAGCAGAUUCUUUGCUGCUAAACUGCAAAGUCAGAAGAGACUUUGUCAGCCUUCAGCAGUGAAUCCUGUUCGGCUGUCUGACUAAUACUAAGGAGAGCCCAGAGCCAUGGCCUGCAACUAGCAUCAAGACAGCAGAUGGAGAGUCCCUGCUUGCUCACACCACACCACUGCCACAGGUGCAGCCUUCCUUAGAGAGCUUUGGCCGUGAAAAAUGCACACAUUCUGUUGCAAAACAGCAGAAAGCAGGAUUUAUUGAAACUGGUCACAAAGGCUCUGGAGUACUGGGCAGCCCAUGACCUGUCUGAGGAGGGAAAAGCAGCUCAGCUCAGGCAGGUUGCACACACAUCAGGAGCGGCGGCAUCUUCGAUGCAGAUGUACAGCGACGGAUCCUGGUGUGAACAUGCCAGCAUCCCUAAGAAACAACUUCCCAGGCAUGUAAAUGUUUGCUUUGUCCCAAAGAUAAUUAAUGAACGAAGCACCUUUUAGCAACUGUACUUUUUGCUGGCAGAAAUCCAUCUUUUGGCCGAUCCCGCAGCGGCAAUGCAGCCCGAGCCGGUGGCCAGAGCUGGAGCCAGGCUGGCAGGCGUUAGCCCCGCCACGGCUGCUGCCUGCAGGCAAAAAUAAGGCUGGCGAAGAUGUGUGUUGAGAACAAAAAGGCAGGCAGGCCCCGGGGUGCAGUAUUACAGGGAUGAAUGCCUAAAGCACAUCGGGGACUCCACGCCUUGCUGCGCUCUCAACGCUGGCAGCCGAGAGCAGGAGCAGGAGUGAAACCCAGCGUCUCGUAAAGCAGCAUAUGGAUAGAGCGCAAAUGGAUGGGGUUUUAUGUCCUGUGCAAUAUUUUCGUUGAUACUUAUUUUGAUUUAAUUUGGCUAAUGUGCAGGAAAGAUGAAAACGCGCCGUGCUUCUCAACAUCUGAUGGGGAGCCGAAUGUUUUUUAAAAUUAGUAUUCCCACAUAGGCGGCGAUCUUUAAGGUCUGCCCAGCAACUGUGCUGGAAAAUCAUGAGUCACUCCAUGUAAAUCACGGGAUGACCCUCGAAGCAGCAGAUUUUUUUUAAAAACAUUGAGUUGUUUAUCGUAGCAUUACAGUUUCUAGUCUUCCUGUUGAAGCGUUUUGUCCAUAACUUAAUUUUUCCUUUUAAUGAAAGUAGAGUUUGCCAUAACCUGAAACCACUUCAAAGAGACAGAGUUUGAAACAUAAUUUAAUACCAUGUAAUGAGAUUCAGGAUAAAAUGGUGACGGCUGGUGAUGCUCCCUAUCCCUGCUUUGAGAGAAGAGAGGCUGAAGCGGAGCCAGGGAGCACGGGAGCAAUGGUCAUGAAAAACAGCGUGAGGUUGGAGACCAGGGUGCAAAUCUCCACCAAAGACUUCCAGGGGGAACUUGAGCAAGUGACCUAAAUCUUCCUCUCUUGUAGCUGCUGUCUGAAAUAAGGGAUAAAAAGAGUCUAUUUCCUCCACAGGGAUCCAUAGGAAUAAAUACUUUAAAACUGGUGAGGGGCAGCAGCCAUGGCAGGGCCAUGCACAGGCUGGGGAGGAACAAAAAAUAAUUCCCCAAAGAUGUUCUUGGCAGAUAAAUCCUCUGCCUUCCCACCGAAGCAGUGCUCCCAAAGCUUUGUAGCUCACAAAUUUGGGGGGAAUAAAUUUGUGAGAAGAGGUUGGGGUGGGUAAGGUGAGUACCCAGGGCAUCCUCCCCAAGCCCCCUCUUCGCUCCGCGGGGCGUCCCCCCAGGGCUGCCUCCUGCUGCAAAACUGGGAUUUUAAUGUCUCCGUUCUCUCGCCUGUUAAUAAAGGAACAAAAAGCGCAUUUGCCUUCUCAAGGGUGUUGUGAGACAAAGUUGGUAAGUGUUGAAAAGAAACCCAAACUGGAGGAGAAAGCUGGCUUUGUUCCUUGGGACACAGCCCACCGCAGACCUCACUCUAAUUUUACUGUAGCAUCUCCUGAAUGAAAACGUGUCCUCCCAAAAAAACCCAUCAAACAUGUCCCGACUUGAAACGGCUGCCAGGGUGGUGAAAGGAGCUGCAGAUUACAGAUCCUCGGGGCUCUUGGGGCAGCAAAAUGUUUGUUCCAUGGAUUUGGGCUAGAUCCAAUUAAUCCAAAAAGGGCUCAGAGCGACUGUUUAACCUAUCCUGUGGGGUUGGGGAGAAAUAUGUAACGAACCAAAAAGGCAAAACAAGAAACAACAGCAAGAAAACCUCUUUAUAUUAAAAUUAAAAUUAAAAUAUUAUCCAGACACUGCUCAGGAAAAAGAAAAUUCAGAAGGCCAAAGAAAUUCAAAGGCUAAACCUCAGCCUCCAUCUUAAACUGAAUUGGAAAGAAAAAGCAAGAAAAUUAAAUUUAAUUAGUCAGACCCUGUAAAUUGGUAAACAGGGCUUGGGGCUUAAAAAAGGAAGGAGCCCUCCACGGGCAACUGCAGCACCAGACUUGGUGAGGGCACCUUAAGGUAUCAUACAAAAAUAUAAGAUGUUAUCUAAAAGAUAACCAAUCCUGUAUUUGUUCUACCCUUUAUCUCACUGCGAUCUACAAAAGUAAAAGCUUUAUUUGGAUUUUUAAACAUUUUUAUUGAUAUCACAAUGCAUGUUUCAUCAUUACAGCGUCUGGAGGAAAUGAUUUUUUAAUAGGAAUAAUUUUUUUUAAACCUGUUCUAAUCUAGAGGAAAUCUGAGAACACUAAAAAAAUUCCUUUAAACGAAGGCUAGGACAAAAAUUAUCACAAAAGAAAGCAGAAUAAAGAGUGUACCAACAGUCUGAUAUAACUGAAGAAUUAAUUACCAAAAAUCAUGAAAGAAAUCGCAGCUUUAAGCGAAUGGUGGUUUUAUGCUGUAUUCCGGGCAAGCAAAUUUAUUAGCCACUGUCUGAGAUGGUAAGAGGAUGCAGAGAAAAUGCUGCAACUGCUUGGUGGUUUCCAGGUGCGUAUUAUACAUAUAAAGACAGAGGUUCUGUCCUUAGUAAAAAAACAAACAAACAAACAAAACAAAACAAAACAAAACCAAAAACAAAACAAAAAAAAACCUUUCUUCUUUGGGAUCUUUGGGUUUCUUGUUUAAUUCCUAGCCUCAGAAAACAUAACUUUUUUUUUUUCCUUCUAAUGAUUUGUCCAUUCUUGGCUUUCAGCUACAAAGUCAGUUUCCUUAGGCUUGUACUAAUUUGAUGUGCAUCCAUCUUCAUUCAAGUUGAUCCAUUGAACUCUUGGCAGCACAUCGAUAGCAAACGGGAGCGCAGUGCCGUUCAUUGAACUCCGCCGUACCAGCAAAACCAGGGACAAGACAGAAAGCCUGGGGUCAUCUCCUGGAAUUGGUUCCUGGACUGCAGCUCAGACUUUAAAUCAGUUUCAAAUCCUGACCGACAGAAUGGAUUGUUGGAUAUAAUAUUCUGCUUUCAAGUGGGGAAUUCAGCUUAUUCUACAAAGAAGAAUAAAGCGUUGCUACCAUUAUCAAGGUGAUGUGCUCCUGAAACUUGUCGCUUCUAUCCACAAUGUGUAGACUUAGCCACAACUGCAAACUCUUCAAGGUAAGGACUCUCCAUUUGAAAAGGAAGAGCUGUCACCCUCAUUUUAUAGUGAGCUGGGAAGAAAGAUACUAAAUGAUUUGUCCAAGGGCAUGGCAGGGAGAUUGUGACUGGUGGAAUUAAACCCAGAUUUUUCAGAUCACAGCAAAGUGCCUUAACCACAAAACCUUUCUGCCUCUCUGUGGAUCAGCCACUGUAACUUGGGCUUUUGGGCUGGGUUUUCAAACAUGUUUGUCAUCUUCCAGGGAUUAAGUUAAAUUUUGUUUAAUUUUCCACAUUUAUGGAAAACAUCACCCAGUUUAUACUUCCCCUCUACAGAUAAUGCUGCCUGACUUUACCUGCUCCCCACCAAGGAAACAUAGGUGGAACCACCUGCAAGAGGAGGUACAGGGAGCUGCCACCACCAUGUCUGUCCCUUUCACUUUUCAGCCAAAUAGGGAGAAACUUUUUUUUCAGAGACUCUGCUCUGCAGAGAUGUCAUGCAACCUUCAGCCCCUUUUCUUCUCUUCUAAUUUACAUCCAGUGCCUCCUCGUGCUUGUCCCCAAGAGCUGCCUACUUGCUGCUAAAAGGCUGUGGAGUAAAAGGGUUCAUUUCCAGACAUUGCAGGUGACAGAGAUACCAAAUUGUUUACAGUGCAAUAAAAUGAUCCAGUGCCUCAUUUCAAGGGCAGUUUUGCCAAGGCUUUGCAUGUGUACAGGGGUCUCUCCAACACUGCCUUAUUUUUUAACAGAUAAAUUCCAGCUAGACAACUUCUCUUUUAAAACAUCCUGUACAAUGGUUUUAUCUUCUCCCUUUGCAGCUGGUGAUCCACUCCAUUAUUAACACCUACCAGUAAAAGCCCUGCAGAUGGAGGAGAAAGGGACUGACCUCUUGGGUGAUGCUGCAGAACAUCUUGUCAUUAACUCCCAGUUAUUUGUCGCAGUCUUGCUUCCUGGUGAUCACAGCAUCAUUGCCCUUACCAGGCUCAUUAGCAGCAGGACCUGCACUAAUCUGCAUUGUCCCCUCCUGCAUCUGCCAGUGCUGCCGUCUCCUUGCACGCACAGUCCUGAGCACGGGGCUUCUGGUGGCACUUAGUGGGAUCUUCUGUUUCUGGGCUGAAACAGCUGAUGAGGAAGAAGGAACCAGCUCUGUUCAUCUGCCUGUCAUUUUGUUAACAGGCCUUGGACCUACCUUUAUUUUCUUCCUGCUCUGAUCUCUUCAAGGAAAUUGAAGAUCAUCAUGGGUAAUACCAGGAACACUUUUAUCAGGCUUCCCAGAGCGCCCUGUGAGAGUUGACUGCAUGUGAGGGACUGAAGCACAUAGAAAUUAGGGAUGAAAUUUUUCAAUCCUACCAAAGGGAUUUGGAUGCCCACCAUCCGUUAAAAUGAGUAACAAUUCCUGUCCUGCCCUAAAUGGCCAGAGCCCAAAUUGCUGCACAAGAAGGAAACCAUCUUGGUUAAUGCAUGGACACUUAAGCCCUCAGCAUCUGACUUCACUUAGAUUUUAUUUCCAGCAAACUUAGUUGCUCAUGUCCAAUGAAACACUUGUACACCCCCCGCACCCAUUACCCGCUCCCUGGCAGCUCAUCGGGCCGUCUCUUGCCAGCUCCACUAUCAGAGGAAGGUGAUGAAGGUAGCUAAUUUGUUUGCAAGUUGGUGAAUGAUGUAAAAGGUUCCUCGUCCAUCAUCAUAAAGGCUCACAAAAAAAAUGCAGACAAAUGGUCCUUCCUCUCAUUCUGCCUGUGCUACACAGGGACAUUUGAAACUGAGGGAAAGUUCAGCGUAGCCAUAUGUACAGAGUGAUGCACACAAAUCACAGCUGCUGCUAAUUGGAUCCAGAAAUCUAAUUGGUCCCUCCUGGUUGGCUGGUGUUACAUAUAGGGCCAUCAUGACAGUAAUGUGGGGUCUGUGGAGGCUUGGUCUGCUCGGUUUGGCAAUCCGGUGGCCCAGGCUGUGCUGAGGUGCUGCUCCCUGGAGCUGGGGGUACAGACAUGUCCCCAGCAGCUCGGGCUUCUUUUGCUUUCCUUGACCUGCAAAGGGGGCUGAGCUGCUCUGAGCAUUUGCCAUGGUGUGACAUGGGCGUGUAGGGCCCUACCAAAUUCAAGGGGGAGAAGAGGAUAUAAAAUAGCAUAGAAUGAUGUAAAAUAAUGUUAAAUAGUAUAAAAUAUCUCCAGGUGGUUGCUCCAAUUAAUGCCUCAUCCAGAAAACAGCCCUAGACCAAAGUAAUGAGACACACCACUUAAAUUGCCAGAAAUAUAGGUUUUUUCCCACAUUUCCUUCCUACCCAAAGUGAAGUGCAACCUGCUUGUCUAUGCUAAAGAAUGUUAAUGGUUUUUAACCUGUUUUAGGACAUGUGUGAACAGAACCAGCCACUUUGGAUUUGAAUGCUACCAAGCUGCACAGAGCCAAAAGGCCUGGCAGCUUCACCCAGAGCCAUGCCUUGUGCUGCAGGAGCUGGGGGCGGAGCAGAGACCCAGAGAAGAAACAGGUUUCUGCUUACACAAAGCCUUUUCUGGCUGGGGAAGCAGCGUGUGAACGUGAAGUGUCCCAUCCCACUAUGGAGGAUGAGCUGCAGAAAUGGUCAUUGGGCUGAAGGUCUCAACUCCAAGCACAUCAGCAGCAGCUCUCCAGUCCAGCCUACUCUGUUGCUCUGGUCAAAAUUUCCCUGUUACAGUUUCAUCUCGCUGGAAAUGGAGUAAGUCUUUGCGGGAGGCUGUGUGUGUGCUCCUGGUUUUCCUCAGCAAGACAAGGAGAAUGUUGAAACUCGGCUGGCGGAUGGGAAAGUGCCCCCUUCCAAUACAAGCCAGAGCCGUGGAACCCCUCCAGGUCUCAAAAGCCCUCAUCAGCCCAAUCAGGACUUUGAUGAUGAAAAGCAGAAUAAAGGCAAACAGGAAGAAAGCGAGUUUAAACAUGCCCAAACAAGAAACAGCAGAUUGUGAGAAAGGGAAUUGGGCAGCUAGGGGCAGCCCCAGCUAUUUGAGCUGCCCUGGAAAAAGCCAAGAAACCGUGGAAAAUGCUACAUUAUGGUGAACAGCAUGGAAGUCCCUGAGUCUCUCCUUAGAAAUGUGCAUAUGACCAUGAGCACUACAGACAAGGGCUGACGAUGUGUAACUCAGUGAGGAAUUUUGAUGGUAUGAAGUCCUAGUGAAGCCUGUACUUUGCUCAGCUUUGCAGCUUUCUGAUGAUAACCAUUCCAUUUUCCUGGGAAAAAGUCCCACUGAAGACGUUGUCUGUUGGCUUUCCACUUCACAACUCCAGGACACAUCAGUUCUACUGUCCCAUCCCUGUCCCUGCUGGAUCUUCUCCAUACCCCCUGUUUAUAGCCAGUUGGAGCAAAAUACAUGGUCCUGUCCCCCUCACCCCCCCUCACCCUCCUAAAACCUCAAAUAGGGCUUUUCUUCACUUCUGGAAGUGAAGAAAAGAAGUGAAGAGAAAGCCAUGGACUUUGCCAUGCUUCCCCCCAACCCAAGGAACAUCAGGAACAAAGCCCUGCAGAGGUCAUUUGGGCAGGCUGCUGAGUGGGACAUCGCUGCCACAUGCGGGAUCUGCUCCUAGGGCAGAGCAGAGGCUGUUUCAGUAAGAGGGAUCUGUGGGUGCAGGGAGGACAACCAGCAGUGGGACCUGGAGAAGAAGGAGUAGUGUUUGGCACACUGCACCUUUGGAGGUAGAUAACCCGUGUUAUUGUCAGGCAUUUUAAAGCAUUCUUAAGAGGCAGUUCCCAGGUUACAUUUCACUCCACCAUGGAGCGAGUUUAGAAACAAGUGAGAAAUUUGUUAAUUUGGAUCUUGCUGAAAUGAAUGGCUUCCUUUGUACCAGUUGCCUCUCAGAAAUGUUGAAAUUUAAUUAAUCCCUUGCUGGAAAUAAUGUACAGUAUUAGUUCUAAUCUCUAAUGUAGGAUUUCAUUGCUAAUGCUCAGCAUAAAGAAUGAGGCUUGGUAAACGUACGGCUGGAAACAUGACUGUGUCCCCACCAGCCCAGUGCAAGCAGCUCUGCCGUCUGCCAACCAGCCUCGGCACAAUUGCUGCUUGGGUAGAGGAAAUAAUUCCUCCUGGUUGUAUUUGGAGCUGUAUUUCCGCGGCGCAACAGUGUGACUCUCGCAUUCCCUGUUCUCCACUUUGCCCUGGCCCCAUCUACUCUACAUCUGCAUCUCCUGGAAACCACUUUCCUUCCUCACCCUUUCCCUAGGCUAUAUAGAAAAGACUAAUCCCAAAGUUAGUGGUGUCAGAGAGCUGCCAUGGACUUUAGGAGGCUGCAAGGACCUUAGUUGCUCUCUUUAGGGUGGAUCUUUAAUAGGUGAAUAAAAAAACUAAGGAGAACAGCAAAGGCUCAUCCUUGGGACACUCCAAAUUCUGUAAGUGAGCCUGCGUGUGAUUUCCUUCCUCCAGGAGGAUGCAAAAUGUGAGGAGUUGGGACAGGUUGGUGCUUGUCGGUGUCCUUUGAUGGGGCUUAUCUUCAUUUGCAUUUUUGUAGGUGAGAUGUGAAACACUGGUUGAGUUUUGAAUGAAAACUACAGCAGUUUCAGUGGAGAAUAUUGAGACGUGCUCUGAGUUGUCACGCACAGAAUCCAACUGGAGAGGAUCAAAGGAAAAAGGUCUAUUUUUGGUUUUACAUCUACUAAUUACUCUGAACAAAUGAGCAAUGCAUCUGAGAAGUAAUCUUUUUUCAGGUUUCCAUCUGGUAAAUUCUUGUAGGUGCUGUAACUUCAGAAUAAUUUCAAGCCUGUACUUUUCACUAAACACUCUGAAGUCAACCAGUGAGUGGAAGAACACAGAUUGGCUUUUGUGUCACUCUUGUCCAUUCAGAAAACUGCUAAAGCAACACGUCUUGGGGCUGUGAACACCUACACCCGGUGAUUCUGGAUGCGGCGAGUUUUGUCGUUGAUGCAGAAUCCCCUCUGCAUAGCUUUCAUAAGGAAAAAUGUUUCAGGGGAUCAGUCCUCUGUUCCUCGUUUAUCUUCAGCUGUACUGGUAGGUGACCUUCCUCUGCAUGCCUGAGCUCACGUUGGGAGGAGGUUUGUCCUGGCAUGCUGAGGUCAGACGUGCCCUUCCAUGUGGUAACACCGGAGCUGGCUACGUAAAGGAGGGUUGUGGGGAGGUGGGGAAGCAGGAAGGAGUCAGAAUUACACACUGGAUUUACUGUUAUCUGAGUCCUACAUGAGGGGAAGAGUCUUGCUAUGACAUACUCAAGGAGCGCAACAACAUUUAAAGACUACAUAUCUCUACUACUCAUCAAUGACAGAUGAAUUAGUACAGAUUUGCAGGUUGUUUCCUUGGGAGGCCGGUGGUGAUUCUGGGGUGAAUUUCCCAGCUUUCUGUGAAACUGAGGUUUCACAUCAUUCAUGAGCGAAUUCCACACACUGAAUUGUAGUGUCAUGGACCUGUGGAAAGGAGUGGGAGCAGCAAGGGAGACUUCAGAGCUGUUGCUUUUUAGAUACCGGUUAUUGCAGAGUAUUCUGUGCAUCAUUCUGAAUUUGGGCUUGUUUUUGUCUGAAAGCAAUUGGCUGGCAAGAUUGCAGUAAGUGUACCUAGUAGAGCUGUGUUGGGGACGGGGGGGGAAGUUCCUUUUUUUCCAUGAAAAAUUUCGAAUUUAUAACUUAAUACUUGAAAAUUUUAGCUGAAAACUGCAGGAGUCUCCCCCAGUGUGGCUUCUUGUUUUCCAACAAAAAUUAAAUAGCAUGGACGGAAAUACAAAGUUUCUGUUUUCAUUGAGGACAGUUUCAUACCAGGUCAGAUAGCUGGUAGUCCCUAGCCUGGCCUCUCUGCCAGCAACCAGCAUCCCUGCUGCUGGUGGAUCAGUGUUUGCUGGGAGACAGUGGGAGCUUUGCAGAGCUGAGAAAUGGUCUGAGCUUGGCCACAGCUGCUUCUGAGCACAGACAAAGUCACUGCAGUAUUUGAAGUUGCUUUGCCAUGGAUCUCCAGCCGAGGCACUGAUGGAGAUGAGCCACCCAUGGCUGCUAAAAAAUAUAAAUCUGUUACCAGGCUGUGGUCAGUAUUGAUGUCAUUUUUAAUGAGAAGGUGUUUUUAGGUUGAGAAAUAUGGAAAUAUAAACUCCUCAACCCUCUGUUGUUGAAAGAUUUGUUCAGAAGCGGUGAUGGGCUGAUGGUGGCUGAAUUCAGCUGGGGUGGUUUUGCGCUGCGGGUACCUCUGGGAGCUGGGCUCCUCUUGCCUUAAUGAGCCAUUUGCAUUUCCAGGAGGGUUUGGGGCUGGGAACAGGGACAGCACACCAGAAAAGCUCACCCUGAACAACUGCAGGAUUCAGCACAGGGGCCCAAUCCUGUAGAGUGCAGCACACCCCUCUGCCCAGCUGUACUUGCACCCCAAAACACGAGCCAUAUGCAGAGGGGGGACACCAAAGGGACCCCAUGCAGCAACCUCCCACCUCCCGGUGGUGCUACCACCACCUGUGCCUGCUGUCACCAUGGACAAGGCACCUGCGGUGACCUUCAGAGAAAGAACUGCAUUUGCAGGGGAUAAACUGUUCCCUACAUAUCCCGUCUCUGGCCAAAGCCUUGCCUGUUAAAUUAAACCCAUUUUGUUAAGGGGUUUAGAUGCUGCUUGCCCAUAUGCAGAAUUAUGUCUUUAAAGAUUAAAAAAUCCAAUAUAAACAAAAUAAAUCCAGGGAGCUGAAUGCAUGAAUCAUUAUUUUAGUACAUAUUGUCCAUUCUAAUCUGCAGUCCAAUUGUGAAGUCAUUCAAAAUGCUGCUUCUCAGUAAUUAGCAGGAAUCUAACUCAGAGCCAAUUUCUGAUUAAAUGUGCUUAAAAUCAAUAAAACAUCAUGAGUGAUUAGAGUCACGUGUGAUUAGCCCUGUCGAACAAAGCAGAAUAAGUUAUGGCCUCAGUUUAACUUGUCAAAAAACAGAACUGGGGGUGGGAAUGAGGAGGAACAGCUGAUAUUUCUAUAAAGGGUGUUUCUAGUUCUCUGCCUUUCUCUUCACUCCUUUGGAAAAGUGAAAGGAUCAGUUUGUUUUCUGAAAAUUACAGGCUGAAGGGAAAAGUUUGGGGUUGCUUUGGCUUCUCUUGUGGGUUUGUUUAAGGAUAUGCCAGGAACGGCAUUUUUUUAAAUCCAGCGUCUCAGCUGUAGGAGGGUUACCUGCUUCUCCUGGCGUCGCCUUUUCUCCAGCUCAGUCCUGACUGUUUGCAGCAGGAAUGGCACAUGCCUGUAAGGAAUUAUUUUUUUGUUUGCCUUUUUUUUUUUUCUGGAAGGGGCACAAAGAUCACAUCUCCCUCCCUGUGGUUGGAGGGUGCCAUGUCGUGUCAUGUCCCUUGUCAGUAAUAGAAAUAAGAGUGGCAACAACCCGAAAACACAUGUUGAUUGAAAAGCACUAGAAGAUGAAGCUGGCGGGGAGCCAGUUUCUUUUGCAUCACGUGUAUCGGGGCAGCACACAAUAGUCCUGCCCUGGGUCCCCUGGACACACACCACCCCCCUUCUUCUCUUUGGGGUCCAGAGAAAGGUGUUUCUUAUAGAAAGUGGCUUUUUGGGCAAGGUGGUUUUGGCAGCAUCCCUCACCCCAGCAGCUCGGGGCGGAGGUAUGCGGCACCCGGGGGAAGGAGACGGCUGCGAUCUCACAUUGGGCACAUGGGGGCUGUGUGGGGUGGGAGAGCUGCUCCACAGCUUGCCAGCAAAGCUUCCCUUGACGUCAGGCGAUGGAGAACAGCACCCGUUUAUAGUUACAGCUUCUUCACUUACAGCUGUGUGACCACAUCCCCGCCGGCUGGACCGUCAGAGGAAAAUCCAGCUGUAUCGCUCCAUGCCGCCUCCGGAUCCGGCGCUGACACUGGUGCUGCUGGGGCUCCUUCCUUUCUGUUUCGUUAACUGAAGUGAAAAACCCCACAUCCACAGUGUGCACAUGGUGGCGGGUGAAGAGGGGAGAGUUGGAAGGCAUUGUCCCAAGUGCAUUUCUACUGGCAAACUGUGUAUAAUUGUAUUGUUUUGUGGCCUGUUUGAGAGAGCAUUUUUUUAUCCCAAGAGUACAUGCUCAUUUCCUGCUCCCGGCAAGGCUAUGCCCUUCUACUCAGUGAAGCUUGGGAAUUUUUGGCAAAAUCUGAUUUAUUUAUUUUUUCCCCCUUGAGUGUGUAAUCUCUAUGUGUUCCCUGCUGCAGGCAGCAGUUGUACGUGGAGUUGCUUGGGACCACUCGUUCCAUGAGACUUCUCUGUUGCCUGUCCCCUGGGAUGAGAACUUGUCACUCCGUGUCACACCUGAGAGAUGCAGUGAGCCAUUGGGAAAGGCUGUAUUUAACUUGGGCAAAGGACUUGGGCAAACAAGGACCUUCUGCUAAGAGGAGCCCCACUAUGGGCAACCCCACCAUCUCCAAGCACCUUCUGCUAAGAGGAGCCCCACUAUGGGCAACCCCACCAUCUCCAAGCACCAUGUUGAGCUCUGGGUUGGAGUUUCUUCCAAAUGAAAACACAAAGUUCAUUAAAAGGUGUUAUUGAGUCAAAAUUAGCAUUCUAGAGUCAGUGAGGGCAGGUUGUGCAUCACAACAUGACAUUGGUGGGUCAGCACUACCAAGAUGGGAAUGUUCCUUCACACCAAAAGUCAGUGCAUGCCAAAGGGGACAACACAGCUGCUGCACCCUAUAGAAAUAGGUUUUUUCUACUGCCGUUCUUGUAAGCUGCUGUUCUUUAAUGGCAAAAAUAGUGCAGAAACAGAGGAGCAGAUCCUCAGCAGAUAUCCGUGGCGGUAUCUGGGUUGCCCCCAAAUUACACCAGCUGAGCCCCGGGAUCUGCUGUGCUCUGAGAGAUGAAUCACCCUUCACUGACCUCCCGGAUCCAACAGCAUCGUGGGACCAUCUGUGCUCAUCCUCAGUGCCACGGCACGUGUGGGAAGCUUGGCUGCUCAAGGGGGUCAGCAUCAGGACCAGAGGGUGCUGGUCAGCACUCAAAGCACCUCUGGAAAUAAAACCCAGAGCUGAAAGUGGGAAUGACAUAAAUCUGCUAAUUAUUCCUCACCCUGCGCCCCCCAUGCAUAGUUCAGUGACUGACUUGGGGUUUUUUGCUUUUCUCUAAAGCAGCUGGAGAUGGGAUGUUGAACAUGAUGUGUUAUUGCUCCUAGUGGUAUUAAAGAAAAACAUCUCAAGUACUGGUUGGCAUGUUUUGAUUAUAUGUGAAGGUAAAACGAGUGCCAGAUUUGGAGUGGAGAAGAGUUUUUCCUCCAGAUCAGAUUAGCAGGAGUUGUUGGGGAAGUGAAACAGGGCAGCGAGGUGUUGGGGUGCCGGGGGGGGUGGGCACUGAACAUAAUCUCCCUCUUAGAAUUAAUUUGGCAUUUUCACUGAACAAAUGCUACAGAAGACCAGAGCCCUCAAUGGUUUCUUUUCUCUCUUCCUUUGGUGUUACUAUUUGUGGCUUUAUUUAUUUGCACUAAAAGCCUUAAGCUCAUUAUGGCAUUUUUGCGAAGUGUUUUUGUGGCUUGUGUUGAGUGAGUGUGUGCAGAGCAGUUGUUCCCUGGACCCUUUUGGAUUAAUGUUUGUCAUACGAUUGCCUGCAAUUUCAUGACCUCUGUGGCUGAAGUGAGCCCUAUGGGGUUUUUUUAUGUAUGUGCAAUUUAGCUUUUAAUUAAGGCGUUGUUAUCCAGGGAGUUGCAGCUCGGUUGGUUUGCAUGCCCCAAGGUUCUCCUGGCUUGAUACUGGAGUAAGGUAGCCCAUAUUUGGAAAUAUUUAGCUUGUUUCUCCUGUUUCAGUUGUCCAAGCUGUUUGAAUCUUCAGUCUUCUUUUCCAAUGUUUACUGAAGAACAGCAGUUUUUUUUAACACUCCCUUUUAUCACACAGUGUGAUCAGCCGAGCUCAGACAAUGUGUAUUCAUGCUGGGCUCUGUUGCUCAUUUAGCAGUCUACAAACUACUAACGAAGUGCAGAUGCACUGAGGAAGAUCCUCCCUCCAUGGGUGAGCCCCGGGCUGGGCUGCACUGAGGAACUGUGGCAUGCCAUUUGCAGCAAUCGGUUACCGGGAUGGCAGGCCUUAGUGGUAGUACAGGCUGUUAGUAGGACUACUCAUUCCUAAGGUUUUAUGUAUGUUUUAUAUAGGUUUUUAUAAGGCUUUUUAUAUGCCUCUGUCACCCUCGUAGCUUACCAGGUCAGCACAAUUAAUUCAGCUGGGUUUUAUUUUUAUUUCUCUUCCUAUUUGCUUCUACUUUUCUGUGCUAGCAUGGUUCAUCAGGUCCUUGUGUUUAAGCUCUUGAAGUAAAUAUUAUACAUGGACAUAAGGUCUGCAUUUUUGCAGGAAGGCAAGCGGUUUCUGGUGCCGUGGGUUUUGUGUGUUCAGGCUCUGUCACGUGCACAGGAUUGAUUUUCAGAGCUGACUUCAUUUUCAUGCACGAUAUCUCUCGGCUGUCUCUAGGAUACCCAAAGAUUUUGGCAGCUUUGACAGAUACCUGGCUCCAGAUUAACAUCACAUGAUGGAGCAGAGAGGUACCAGACCUUCAUCCUACCCCCUUCAGAUAGAUGUGGUUUCCCCCUCCUCCUGCCCCUUCCCAAAACAGGAAUUUACUUGACAGGAAGUUCCCAAGAUGCCACCGCACUCAACUGUCUUACUCAAGUAACCUAAUGAUUACUACUGCUCACAGGUUUUCACACAUCUGUUUUGGAACACAGGGAGCUCAAGCGGAAUGUUACUGCAGUGGUUUUGGGUGUAAUUCUGGAUAAUCAUAUGCCAUCUCUGUAAGUAAUUAGCAGAGGUGGCUCAAGCAUCAGAAUUUCAGUACCAGGACAAAUGUGGAGAACCAGAAGGUCUUGAGACAAUUUUGAUAAAACACUUUUAUUCAUAAAGUGCACAUUUGUAAAAUCAAGAUCCAGAUCUGAGUUCAGAUUUGGUACGUGUAGAAAGUUCCUUGUAUGUUAGGUGAGCUCCAGUAUCUCCAUCCUGGUCCAGUUUGAACAGCUUAGUGUUUCGUUCUUAGAGAGUGCUUCUUACUGCUGCCUUUGUUUUAAAGCUGUUGAUUUUUGCUUCCAAUUUUUCUAGGCUCAGUGGUGAGAUGUUGAGCGGGUGCUACACUAAUCUAAUAAUCUUCAGAAAUCAUUCUGGGGUGUUUAAUAUUCAUAUGGUGGCCAAACUCUGAGUUCAGUCAGUUGUAAUCAUCACACUGGAGCAUGGUCAAGAUGGGAAGUUUGGCCUGGACCCUAUGGCCAUCUGGCCACGGGGAAACCAGCUGCCUCCUGAGCUAAAAAUGCCCUUCAUCCGUCAUGAUAAAUCUCCUUUUCUACCAACAAACCUUCAUUCUGCAGUUUAGCUCCAUGUGCGUAAAUGACCGUACUCAUCAAAUAGGGUUGUUGAUGGUUGUUCAGUUUUCAUGUGGCCUCUUGGAGAAAACUCACACCAGAUAACCUGGCAAUAAUGGUGGGUAGAUUUGCCAGACCUUGCAAAAAUCCCCCACCAGGUACAUGCACCUUGGUGGCAUCACCUGGGAAGGCAAGUGCCUGUGAAUCAUUUGAGCCAAGGGGUGUAGAAAGGUCAUGAAGGGACAGGAUCCUUCCAAAUGAAAGGCACAUUCAGAGCAUUCUUGAAACUGCCUUCAGUGAAACCGGAGUCAUCUCUCCUGACAUUGACUGCUCCAUUGCUUGCUAAUUGAGGAAAAGAGAUGCUUGUGAUCCAGGAAUUACCUCCUGCUAAGUUCAGAUGCCUCAGGUAGGCAAGAUAAAUCAUGCUUUAGCCAUUCAUUUCUCUCUGUUGAUGCUAAAGGGAAUCUAUACCACUAGCUCCAGUGCAGACAUCAACCCCAGAGACAUGUAACAUCCAUGGAGAUGUGAAUCUCAGCUGGGUUGUCUCUGCCUCUAAGCAUGAAUAUGAGGAAAGAGGAGCCAGGCUGAAGUCAAAGGCAGCAAUUAAACACAUAAAACAGAUGCAAAAUUUUGAAAAAGACAGAAGCUGUGGGAUGGCCCAUAGUCCUGGGAAAACUAAGGGCACCUACGGAAAAACGAGAGCAGCAGAGAAGAAGGCAGCGUUGGACCAGUGCAGGAAGAUGAAAACUUCCUUUCAACACUGAAAGUGACAGUUUCUAGAAUCCACCUUGUCUGUCCCUCCCAAAAUGUAAAUGCUUGUAGUUACCUCUCUGAAAAUCUGAAGCAGUUUUGUGGUAGUAAGUAGCAGAUUCUUGGCUACUGGAGCCUCAGUGUGGCAGAUGGGUUUUUUGGAAAAUAACACUUGCAGAGCCCAGCUGGUAACCACAGCUGAGAUCUCCCAAUCAGGGAUCUUAGAAGUCACCGGCUGUAUCAGCUUUGAUUUCACUGGAAACAGCGGCUGGGCUGCUGGAAAUUACACCCAGGUGUUAGGUGGAGAGGUCAGACUUGGCCAGCGGUUCCCAGAACAAUAACUGAGCCAUUUCAGGCAAUUCCCCGUGUUUGCCACAAGAAACGUCUGUGUUAACUCUGAUAUUGCUGGAACGUUUGACAAAGAAUUUUGCCUUUUUAGGUGGUCUGUUAAAAAAUUUAAUACCUUGGGUUUGGGUGGUAUUUAGGUCUAUUUUGGCUGAGGGUUGGGCACUUUUUUCUGUUGCUGCCCAAGGCACCUGCCUUGCUUUGGGAAGAUAAAUCUGCCACCAGCCUAAACCAAGCCAGAAACUGGUAUUCUUCCCCCCCAGCAGGAAAGGUUGGCAUUUAGAAACAGUUCCCUUCUGAAUCACACUAGAACCUUGGAAUAUUAAAAGUUUUUCUUGAAUAAAAGGAUAGUAGAGUGUUUUCUCUCACAUGUGGCAAAAUGAAAAUCAGUCAACAAUUUCCCUCAAAAAAAUAAACAACGCAGCAUAUGGGGAACUCUGUUGUUGCUGUUUUUGUUGUUGAAAUCUUCAUGCUCCUUGAAAAUUUUGAAGAAGUGUCAUUUUCAGAUGGAGGGGGGGAGUGUGUGGUGUGUUUGACCAGUUGCACUUGCUUCCAGCUCAGAAACAUCAACUGGGAUUUUACUUUAUCUCUGCUGAGGGCUGGAUAUUGUCUUCCCAGCACAAAUGACUUUGUAUUUUUCUUUUUUUUUUCCUUGUACCAGGCCUAGCCGUACCCAGUAUUAAAUUAAGGGACUUCCUGGUAUUUUCAGUGUCACCUGCAAACUGUUUUGUAUUUUAACCUGCCUCGAGAUCAAGAGAAUGCAGCUUUCUUUGUACCAUCUGAUCUGAAUGCUGUUUAACCCUCCUUUUCCAAUAGUUUCUGUGUCCUCAAACUUUGUCUCUAAAACUUACUUUUUGCACCCGUGCCAUAUGCACACCCACCUGGAUGUGUUAUGUGCUAUGUUAUGUUUUAUGCUGUGUUAAGUGCUAUGCACACACACCUAACCAUGAUGUGUUAUAAGUAGAGAUAGCUGUGGAUUUUCCAUCCUGUCAUUUUCCAACAGAAAAACUAGAUUCAAAAACAUCAGAUUUUGCCAUUGAAAAAUAAAAGUCCUUUCUCUCUGUAUCUGCAGCCCCGCAAUAAAGCCAUCAUUGGGAAGAUUGAACUUAAGUAUUUCAUUUGGGGAUGGAUUAAUUGUAAUUAGAGUAUACAUAAUGUUUCAACUGAGUGUUUUAUUUUUUCAUUGUUUCAACCAAGUGUUGAACUGCUUUUGCUAGUGGUGAAACCAGAGACCACGAGAGACAUGGUUCAGUCCUGUACCCUGUCAUGGGACAUGACCUCUCCUUUCACAUGGUGUGCAGUGGUCUUCAAACCUUUACGAGUGAUGGGAAGUGGCAUUUGGCUGAGGCCAUAGACCUAUGGAGUCCUGAUUUGCUGACUGGGACUGGAUGGCUUACAUCAUUGUUCCCAGAGAAAGGGGCAGAGUGCUGGGCUGCUCCAUGUUUGGGUCCAUGAGAUACUUCCUGUUGCCUGCAGGGAGCACUGGAGAAGGUGUUCAUUUUACCAGAUUAGCUCUUGUGAGCGCUUUUUAUGGAAGGGAGUGGUUGUAGGGGCCUUCCUGUUGCCAUUUCUGCUUUAGGAGGCACCUAAGAAGGACUUCGGUGCCAGUUGGGCAGGGUCUGUGGAAGGGAUGGAGUCAAGUAGCUGAUGAACAAGUUGUUUGGUCUGUGGCUGACUUCAGUUUAUAUUGAGCUCUACAAACAGCGAGUCAAGUUCUUGAAAAAAAAUAUUUUCAAAAAAAAUAAUUCUAGAAAUUAUUGCUAUCCAGUUGGCAGCUAGAAGUUGACAGCACUAGUGGUUCUGCUUUGCUUUCAAAGCCCUAAAGCACUUUUAAAGACGGAGAGAUCCUGUUGCUGCCUGCAGGAGUUCACAGUCAUUCUCUGAGCAGUUCUCCUUUCUUUGUCUCCCUAAAAUAGUUAGCUUUUUGUCCUUUCUGUUUUACUUCUCAAUAAUUUUCUUUGCAGCAGCCCAGGAAAGCAGGAGAUUCCAGCUCACAAGGCUCCAACUGCGAAACGCUGUGGCCAGGAGGGAGGGCAGGUGGAGUAACUCUGGCUGUGCUUCAGUGAAACUGACGAGUGGGACACCAGAAGACACCAGUGCAGAAAGCUGGAGUGGAUGCUCCAUCAGUGAAAAAAAAAAAAAAAUAGGUAAUAUACAACUAACAGACAGAUUGUAUUAUGGGGUCUGCUUACAUGACAUAGAGAUUGGGACUCAGAUCCAUCCUGUGAAAGUAAACAGUUUUAAAACCAUUUUUAAUGAAGUUGCAUUUUCCAAGACAUGAGACCCUAUGAAUUUCACUGGAGAGGUUUUUUGACAUCAUAGCUCUAUAGGUAAAGCAUAGUCCUGAAAGUCAGGAAGUAUGUGUUCCCCCAGCUCAAUGGCAAUUUUGCUGCAUGGACAAUUAACCUCAUUUCACGUACCAUGUUUAUGCAUUCAGUCUUCCUUUAACCCAUCAUGGUCUUUCAUUUGGCUUCAUAGUCCUCCAGACCAGCUAGUGAACAGCUAACCUGUGCCAGCCAGGGUGUGGACAUUGAAGCUCCUGCCCUGCAUAAUGGAUUCGUUUGGAUCUGAUUUGAUCAGUUUUAUGUAGCUGGGUAUACACAUGGCUCUUAAAAUGAAGGGAUCUGAGCUCUUUUCUGGGAUUUGUGACUUCCUUUGUUUGCUACGUCUUGUUUUUUUGGCAAAUCAGAGUGCAUGCUAAGUAUGUGCUAAUACAGAGACUGAAUGACAAUAUACUAUCAGAGAUUAUUUCACUCCUUUCUCAUGGCCUAUUUUAUGGGAUUUAGACACUAUAGACUAACUGAGACAAGAGGUAUUCAGAUUAUUUAAUUUUCACUAAGGAGAUCCAUUUGGGGUUUUUUGGUUUCAUUUUGCCUGGUGAGGUUUUUUCCUAUAAAUAAUUUUCUUUUUUGCAUUUAGGCAUGUUGGAAAAGGAAAAUUAUCUAUUCCAUAAUUUUAGCCUUAUCUGUGAUCUAGUUUGAGUUCUCUGAAAAUUGUCUCAGCUUUCGCAAAUGUCUGUUGUGGAGAAAACAUACCAUUACAGCUGUUCUGCAGUAUUUAAAGGGCCGAAGCACCUAAACUAUUGCUCCCCUGACUUCUGUUUCCCAUGAGUGAAAAAUAUCUUA